UUGUCUACAUGGUCCAUUAUUUGCCUAAAUUGAUUUUCCGAUUUCCUUCUUCCUUCUUUGGCCUCACUUCUUCAAUCAGCCUCACCAUCCAAUUUCUUCCUUCCCCGUCUGCUGCAUGCCCUUUUUUGUUGUUUGUUCUGGUUGUUCUACUAUUUGCAUGUAUCCUUCGUGUCAAGUUCAAUAAGGACAUGUUCUAAGCCUUUGUUAGUACACCAAUGCAAGGAAGUAAAGAUCCCGCAAGCUUCUCUUUCAUGAACUUCCAAAUAAUAGAUGCAGUACACACGUCUGAAGGAUGCUCUGGUUAGGAUUUAGGAAAUGGGGAACAUGGCGGGAGCAAGCAUAUAGAAACCAGAUUUCACUUUAUCAGCAGAGAACAAGUCACAAAAGGUUUCACAAAAGCUUUGAAGAUUGAUAGGUUCACUUGCUUGAGGGACAAGUUAGGUCUCAUAGAAUGUUAGGAUUAUGGAUUAAGAGGGGUAUAUUAGUUUGCGUGUUUUAAUCCAUAAUCAUGCUUAACAAACACUUAAGAAGAGUUUAGUUUGUUAUUUUGGAUAAACUUCAUUUAGUUAGUUACAAGAGACUUACUCUAUAAGUCUCUUGCUUGUAACACAAUCAUUAGUGUGAAUAAAAUUUUCAAUUCAAUAUUC